rnacentral:rRNA from 1 species
GAUAACGUAGGGAAACUUACGCUAAUACCGCAUACGACCUACGGGUGAAAGCAGGGGAUCUUCGGACCUUGCGCGAUUGAAUGAGCCGAUGUCGGAUUAGCUAGUUGGCGGGGUAAAGGCCCACCAAGGCGACGAUCCGUAGCUGGUCUGAGAGGAUGAUCAGCCACACUGGAACUGAGACACGGUCCAGACUCCUACGGGAGGCAGCAGUGGGGAAUAUUGGACAAGGGCGCAAGCCUGAUCCAGCCAUACCGCGUGGGUGAAGAAGGCCUUCGGAUUGUAAAGCCCUUUUGUUGGGAAAGAAAUCCAGCUGGCUAAUACCCGGUUGGGAUGACGGUACCCAAAGAAUAAGCACCGGCUAACUUCGUGCCAGCAGCCGCGGUAAUACGAAGGGUGCAAGCGUUACU